AUGUUGCUGCAAUGAUAAGCAGCCGUCACUCUUAUUCUCAUUCCCUCUUGCUCUGAAUACCUCAUAGAAAUACUCACUGAAAUUCCUUACAAAACACUCAGAAUACAAAACCUUAACAUUAUUUGUGGUUUGAAGAUUUUGUCUUGUCAUUGGUAGUUUAAUUUUUGUAUGCAUUAACUUUUUUUGUUGAUAACGUUUCUCCUUUGUAGGGCCAAAAUGAUGCAAAAUAAAAGAAAGAAGGUGAAGGUGAGGAUGAAGAUAAAAAUGAAGAGGAGGAGGAACCAGAGGACGACGACUUUAGUGAUGAUGAUUAUUACAAGGAUUAGGUGAUGGAUCUCGCCAUGUGUGGGAAAACAAAAUGUUUCUAAUGAAACUAUGGUCUUGCAGCACUCUGAUUUUGAUAAUGAUGAAGAUGAAUACAAUAUGGAAGAUGACGGUGACGGUAGGAACCAUUCAUCUUAUCAACUGCAAUUUUUAUCGUACUAUAGCAUGGAAUAAUUGAGCUUGUGAAUUUACUAAUAAGCUUGUGAAUGUACUAUAGCAUAGAAAAUAGGAUUUGAUGUUGGAAUUGGGGGUAAAUUAGAUUAGAUAUUACAAAAUGACAUUUAGAUUGUAAUUUUCUUUGAGUUUCUAUUCUAGUAGUUUUUUUUCUAGUUUACUAAAGUUUGCUAUGAACUUUAGCAAACUUUGAUUUGUAAAGAGUGGGCUAGGCUACUCUAGCACUAUAGUCUAGGGGUAUGUUUGCACAUUUGUUCUAGACAAGUGAACGACGAGUACAAAUUAUUGUGUGGCUCAGCUCAGUACCAUACUCUCAAUAUCAAAGUGGGUUGAUGUAAUAACGUUGCCUUUCACUUGAAAUGUUUAUUUUACCAUUGAAUGUGUAAGGCUUAAUAAGCAAAAAUAUUUAUCGUAUUUAGGGCAAUCUUGAAUCCACAUUGCACCAAUGAGUUCAACUAA